rnacentral:rRNA from 1 species
AGCGAACGCUGGCGGCAGGCCUAACACAUGCAAGUCGAACGGACCCUCCGGGGUUAGUGGCGGACGGGUGAGUAACACGUGGGAACGUGCCUUUAGGUUCGGAAUAGCUCCUGGAAACGGGUGGUAAUGCCGAAUGGGCCCUUCGGGGGAAAGAUUUAUCGCCUUUAGAGCGGCCCGCGUCUGAUUAGCUAGUUGGUGAGGUAACGGCUCACCAAGGCGACGAUCAGUAGCUGGUCUGAGAGGAUGACCAGCCACACUGGGACUGAGACACGGCCCAGACUCCUACGGGAGGCAGCAGUGGGGAAUCUUGCGCAAUGGGCGAAAGCCUGACGCAGCCAUGCCGCGUGAAUGAUGAAGGUCUUAGGAUUGUAAAAUUCUUUCACCGGGGACGAUAAUGACGGUACCCGGUGAAGAAGCCCCGGCUAACUUCGUG